rnacentral:tRNA from 1 species
GGAGGCCUUAGCUUAUUUUAAAGUGUCUGAGUUGCAGUCAGGAGAUGUAGUAGAAUUACAGGUCUUCCAGGAAUU